rnacentral:rRNA from 1 species
GAUGAACGCUAGCGGGAGGCCUAAUACAUGCAAGUCGAACGGUAACAGGUAGCAAUACGCUGACGAGUGGCGCACGGGUGCGUAACGCGUACACAAUCUGCCUUAUAUUGGGGCAUAGCCUUUGGAAACGAAGAAUAAUUCCCCAUAACAUAUAGAAGAGGCAUCUCUUUUAUAUUAAAGCUCAGGCGGUAUAAGAUGAGUGUGCGUCCGAUUAGGUAGUUGGUGAGGUAACGGCUCACCAAGCCAACGAUCGGUAGCUGGUCUGAGAGGAUGAUCAGCCACACGGGCACUGAGACACGGGCCCGACUCCUACGGGAGGCAGCAGUAGGGAAUAUUGGACAAUGGGCGCAAGCCUGAUCCAGCCAUCCCGCGUGAAGGAUGAAGGUCCUCUGGAUUGUAAACUUCUUUUCUUCGGGAAUAAAAACUAGGGGUUCUCCUCAGCUUGAAGGUACCGAAGGAAUAAGCACCGGCUAACUCCGUGCCAGCAGCCGCGGUAAAGU